GUGGGGAAUAUUGGACAAUGGGCGAAAGCCUGAUCCAGCCAUGCCGCGUGUGUGAAGAAGGUCUUCGGAUUGUAAAGCACUUUAAGUUGGGAGGAAGGGCAGUAAGUUAAUACCUUGCUGUUUUGACGUUACCGACAGAAUAAGCACCGGCUAACUUCGUGCCAGCAGCCACGGUAAUACGAAGGGUGCAAGCGUUAAUCGGAAUUACUGGGCGUAAAGCGCGCGUAGGUGGUUUUGUAAGUUGGAGGUGAAAUCCCCGGGCUCAACCUGGGAACUGCCUCCAAAACUGCAUGACUAGAGUACGGUAGAGGGUAGUGGAAUUUCCUGUGUAGCGGUGAAAUGCGUAGAUAUAGGAAGGAACACCAGUGGCGAAGGCGACUACCUGGACUGAUACUGACACUGAGGUGCGAAAGCGUGGGGAGCAAACAGGAUUAGAAACCCCUGUAGUCC
rnacentral:rRNA from 1 species